GGGGUUGACUGGAUUUGACAGCGAGAUGAACGGGUGUGUAAGCAUGCAGAGGGUCGGUGAUUUCCUCUUUAAUCUCAGUUACCAACAAUUAGUUGGCGAAAACAAUUACGCUCUCGCUGCUUAAUCGAAGUAUAGUAGAUUAGCUUUAUUCCGGCACCAGGUGCUGGAACGAGAUGUCACUCAGAGGCUGUUGCUCCGAAGCGCUCUGGUCCAGUGGCACAGGUAAAUCGGGGAUAGCUUGUGUAGGCCUUGAUGCACGGGUGAGAUUUAAAGGCUAAGGUAUGGGUUGGUGGCUCUGGUCUUGCUCAUGCUCGAAAACCGAAGGCAGAGAUAAGCAUGUAGAAAGCACAUUCUUUCCUUGUUUGGACGAGGGUUCGAAUCCCUCCAGCUCCACCC
rnacentral:tmRNA from 1 species